UACGGAGGGGGCGAGCGUUGUUCGGAAUUACUGGGCGUAAAGGGCGCGUAGGCGGCCUACUAAGUCAGACGUGAAAUCCCCCGGCUUAACCUGGGAACUGCGUCUGAUACUGGAAGGCUUGAGGAUGGGAGAGGGAUGUAGAAUUCCAGGUGUAGCGGUGAAAUGCGUAGAUAUCUGGAGGAACACCGGUGGCGAAGGCGGCAUCCUGGACCGAUAUUGACGCUGAUGCGCGAAAGCCAGGGGAGCAAACGGG
rnacentral:rRNA from 1 species